rnacentral:rRNA from 1 species
GAUGAACGCUGGCGGCGUGCCUAAUACAUGCGAGUCGAGCGAACAGACGAGGAGCUUGCUCCUCUGACGUUAGCGGCGGACGGGUGAGUAACACGUGGAUAACCUACCUAUAAGACUGGGAUAACUUCGGGAAACCGGAGCUAAUACCGGAUAAUAUAUUGAACCGCAUGGUUCAAUAGUGAAAGACGGUUUUGCUGUCACUUAUAGAUGGAUCCGCGCCGCAUUAGCUAGUUGGUAAGGUAACGGCUUACCAAGGCAACGAUGCGUAGCCGACCUGAGAGGGUGAUCGGCCACACUGGAACUGAGACACGGUCCAGACUCCUACGGGAGGCAGCAGUAGGGAAUCUUCCGCAAUGGGCGAAAGCCUGACGGAGCAACGCCGCGUGAGCGAUGAAGGUCUUCGGAUCGUAAAACUCUGUUAUUAGGGAAGAACAAAUGUGUAAGUAACUAUGCACGUCUUGACGGUACCUAAUCAGAAAGCCACGGCUAACUACGUG